rnacentral:rRNA from 1 species
AUUGAACGCUGGCGGCAUGCUUUACACAUGCAAGUCGAGCGGCAGCGCGUCCCCGUAAGGGGAUGGCGGCGAGCGGCGAACGGGUGAGGAAUGCAUCGGAACGUACCCUGGAGUGGGGGAUAACGCCGCGAAAGCGGCGCUAAUACCGCAUAUGCUCUGCGGAGGAAAGCGGGGGCUUCGCAAGAACCUCGCGCUCUGGGCGCGCCGAUGUCCGAUUAGCAGUUGGUGGGGUAAUGGCUCACCAAGGCGACGAUCGGCAGCUGGUCUGAGAGGAUGAUCAGCCACACUGGGACUGAGACACGGCCCAGACUCCUACGGGAGGCAGCAGUGGGGAAUUUUGGACAAUGGGGCAACCCUGAUCCAGCCAUGCCGCGUGCGGGAAGAAGGCC